UACGAAGGGUGCAAGCGUUACUCGGAAUUACUGGGCGUAAAGCGUGCGUAGGUGGUGCGUUAAGUCUGUCGUGAAAGCCCCGGGCUCAACCUGGGAAUGGCGAUGGAUACUGGCGCGCUAGAGUGCGGUAGAGGAGGGUGGAAUUCCCGGUGUAGCGGUGAAAUGCUUAGAGAUGACAUAGAACACCAAUUGCGAAGGCAGCUGGCUACACAUAUAUUGACACUGAGGCACGGAAA
rnacentral:rRNA from 1 species